rnacentral:rRNA from 1 species
CGACCGGCGCACGGGUGAGUAACGCGUAUCCAACCUUCCGUACACUCAGGGAUAGCCUUUCGAAAGAAAGAUUAAUACCUGAUGGUAUGAUGAGAUUGCAUGAUAGCAUCAUUAAAGAUUUAUCGGUGUACGAUGGGGAUGCGUUCCAUUAGGUAGUAGGCGGGGUAACGGCCCACCUAGCCAACGAUGGAUAGGGGUUCUGAGAGGAAGGUCCCCCACAUUGGAACUGAGACACGGUCCAAACUCCUACGGGAGGCAGCAGUGAGGAAUAUUGGUCAAUGGACGAGAGUCUGAACCAGCCAAGUAGCGUGAAGGAUGAAGGUCCUACGGAUUGUAAACUUCUUUUAUAAGGGAAUAAACCCUCCCACGUGUGGGAGCUUGUAUGUACCUUAUGAAUAAGCAUCGGCUAACUCCGUGCCAGCAGCCGCGGUAAUACGGAGGAUGCGAGCGUUAUCCGGAUUUAUUGGGUUUAAAGGGAGCGCAGACGGGUCGUUAAGUCAGCUGUGAAAGUUUGGGGCUCAACCUUAAAAUUGCAGUUGAUACUGGCGUCCUUGAGUGCGGUUGAGGUGUGCGGAAUUCGUGGCGUAGCGGUGAAAUGCUUAGAUAUCACGAAGAACUCCGAUUGCGAAGGCAGCACA